rnacentral:rRNA from 1 species
CAUGUCUUUUUGAUUAUAAUUUAAGGUUUGAUCUGCUCAAUGAGGAUUUAAAUUGCCGCGGUAUUUUGACCGUGCAAAGGUAGCAUAAUAAUUAGUUUUUUUAUUGAAAGCUGGUAUGAAGGAUUGGACGAGAAGAUUACUGUCUCUAAAGAAUUUAUUUUUAAAUUUAACUUUUAAGUUAAAAGGCUUAAAUUUUUAUUAAAGACGAGAAGACCCUAUAGAGUUUAAUAUUUUUAUUGGUUAUGAGUCUUUGGUUAUUUGAUUUUUUGAUUAGUAAUAUUAUUUGGUUGGGGUGACUUGAAGAUUAAAAAAACUCUUCAUUUUUAAAUCAUUGAUUUAUGAAUAUAUAAUCUAAUAUUUUUAAGUUUAAAAUAAAUUACCUUAGGGAUAACAGCGUAAUUUUCUUUUAGAGUUCUUAUUGAAAGGGGAGUUUGCGACCUCGAUGUUGGAUUAAAAUUAAUUUUUGGUGCAGAAGCUUAAAAAUUAGGUCUGUUCGACCUUUAAAAUUUUACAUGAUCUGAGU